rnacentral:tRNA from 1 species
GCCUGGCUGGCUCAAUUAGUAGAGCAUGUGACUCUUGAUCUCAGGGUUGUGAGUUUGAGUCCCACGUUGGGCA